AUGGUUCAGGUUAAAUCCUGCUAAAAUGCACCAUCUGCUGGUAAAACGGGGUAUUGCAUUCACCCUAGAAAGAGCGGGGUAUUAUGGGUAAUCCUCAGAGCCAUGAGGAUCACUGUCGAGGAGUUUCUUUCAUGCCAGAGACUGACUUUACCUCGGUGCCCAUGUGUGAAAUGCAGGUAUGAAAUAAAGAAAACAACUGAUGCCAGAUUGAGCUCCUAGUCCUUCAUUUCUGCACCAAGAAGCCACCAGAUCCGCGUAGGCCACAUUGGUGCCGUGACCCGUCCAGAACUACAUCGGACCGGGCUGGUGACUUCUGAUCUUCACGUCGCUGGAGCUCCACUGUACCAUCUGGGUUUUCAACAAUAGUCUAAGUAGCACAUCUGAGUAUUUAUAAAUCCUUGGGAAAGGAUAUUUUCUUUUGAAUGCUUUUGGACUUUUGUCAAAAUGAGUUUCAGUAAUU